rnacentral:rRNA from 1 species
AUACGUAGGUGGCGAGCGUUGUCCGGAAUUACUGGGCGUAAAGGAUGCGUAGGUGGAUAUUUAAGUGGGAUGUGAAAUCCCCGGGCUCCACCCGGGAACUGCAUUCCAAACUGGGUAUCUAGAGUGCAGGAGAGGAAAGCGGAAUUCCUAGUGUAGCGGUGAAAUGCGUAGAUAUUAGGAGGAACACCAGUGGCGAAGGCGGCUUUCUGGACUGUAACUGACACUGAGGCAUGAAAGCGUGGGUAGCAAACAGGAUUAGAUACCCUGGUAGUCCACGCCGUAAACGAUGGGUACUAGGUGUAGGAGGUAUCGACCCCUUCUGUGCCGUCGUUAACACAAUAAGUACCCCGCCUGGGGAGUACGGUCGCAAGACUAAAACUCAAAGGAAUUGACGGGG